rnacentral:rRNA from 1 species
AGUGAACGCUGGCGGUAGGCCUAACACAUGCAAGUCGAACGGCAGCACAGUAAGAGCUUGCUCUUACGGGUGGCGAGUGGCGGACGGGUGAGGAAUACAUCGGAAUCUACUUUUUCGUGGGGGAUAAGGUAGGGAAACUAACGCUAAUAAAGCAUACGACCUACGGGAGAAAUCAGGAGAUCUUCGGACCUCGCGCCAAUGAAUGAGACGUUUUCGGAUUAGCUGGUUGGCGGGGAAAAGGCCCACCAAGGCGACGAUCCGUAGCUGGUCGGAGAGGAUGAUCAGCCACACUGGAACUGAGACCCGCUCCAGACUCCUAGGGGGGGCACCAGUGGGGAAUAUUGGACAAGGGGCGCAAGCCUGAUCCAGCCAGACCGCGUGGGUGAAGAGGGUCUUCGGGUUGUAAAGCCCUUUUGUUGGGAAAGAAAAGCAGCAGGUUAAUACCCUGCUGUUCUGACGGUACCCAAAGAAUAAGCACCGGCUAACUUCGUG